rnacentral:rRNA from 1 species
CAAUAGCGUAUAUUUAAGUUGCUGCAGUUAAAAAGCUCGUAGUUGGAUUUCGGGUGGGAAUGGCCGGUCCGCCGUUUCGGUGUGCACUUGCUACGCCCACCUUGCUGCCGGGGACGUGCUCUUGAGUUCACGCUCGGGACACGGAGUCGGCGAGGUUACUUUGAGUAAAUUAGAGUGUUCAAAGCAGGCCUACGCUCUGAAUACAUUAGCAUGGAAUAACACGAUAGGACUCUGGCCUAUCUUGUUGGUCUGUAGGACCGGAGUAAUGAUUAAGAGGGACAGUCGGGGGCAUUCGUAUCUCAUUGUCAGAGGUGAAAUUCUUGGAUUUAUGAAAGACGAACUACUGCGAAAGCAUUUGCCAAGGAUGUUUUCAUUGA